UGAGAAUCUGCCUAGAGGAUGGGGACAACCACGGGAAACUGUGGCUAAUACCCAAUGAGCGGAGACGUUAAAGAUUUAUCGCCUCUAGAGGAGCUCGCGUCUGAUUAGCUAGUUGGUGGGGUAAAAGCCUACCAAGGCGACGAUCAGUAGCUGGUCUGAGAGGACAACCAGCCACACUGGGACUGAGACACGGCCCAGACUCCUACGGGAGGCAGCAGUGGGGAAUUUUCCGCAAUGGGCGAAAGCCUGACGGAGCAAUACCGCGUGAGGGAGGAAGGCUCUUGGGUCGUAAACCUCUUUUCUCAGGGAAGAAGAAAGUGACGGUACCUGAGGAAUCAGCCUCGGCUAACUCCGUGCCAGCAGCCGCGGUAAUACGGAGGAGGCAAGCGUUAUCCGGAAUUAUUGGGCGUAAAGCGUCCGUAGGUGGCUCUUCAAGUCUGCUGUCAAAGAGUGGGGCUUAACUCCAGAAAGGCAGUGGAAACUGAAAGGCUAGAGAGCCGUAGGGGUAGAGGGAAUUCCCGGUGUAGCGGUGAAAUGCGUAGAGAUCGGGAAGAACAUCGGUGGCGAAAGCGCUCUACUGGACGGUAUCUGACACUGAGGGACGAAAGCUAGGGGAGCGAAUGGGAUUAGAUACCCCAGUAGUCCUAGCCGUAAACGAUGGAUACUAGGCG
rnacentral:rRNA from 1 species